rnacentral:lncRNA from 13 species
AUGAUAAAACCUAACGGUAAACACCAGAGUCCUGUAAAUAAGCCCCACUUAGCACCCGUUCUUUUUGAAUCAGUGAAAAAAGCACCUGUUCUUUUUGAAUCCACACCCCCGCAGGAAAGCCCAAGGACAAAGCUUCAGGCCUCAGGCCCUCCUGCUGCUCGCUGGUUCCCCAUGGCCUCCAGACUUCCCUCGGGCUCCCACCGCUCACUGGACAUCUCUGGGAUGUGCUGCAGCGGCUGGAGCAAAGGAAAUGAGAUACAAGGCAAUCUCAUAUUGAAGCAGCUACAUAAGGAUCCCUAAGAUGUAGUCACAAUUUCCUGCCAUGCAGUUGCUUGGAAUUAGAAAUCCCGAUUCCUGCUGGAGUUAAACUGAACAUUGCAAAACUGGUAGGAUUAAUUCAGUGGAAGAAAGUUGGUUUCUUGUUUAGCAGCAUGUGGAUGAACAGGAACUCUUGUGCAUUGCCGGCAGGAAUGUGAGUCAGUACAAUCACUUUUGGACAGGGAUAUGGCAUCUUCAUAGACUUGAAGACAUGUAGCAACUCCACUCCUAGGUAUCUGCCCUAAAGACACUCUUACACAUGUUCACAAGAAUUCUCACUGCAAAGAUAUUGGUAGCAGCACAAUUUUGGAAGAUGUCAUUUAAAAAAAUACAUUGUGGCGUAGCAAUUAAAACUAAAGCUAUCAGGCAAAUGAUAAAAACACCAGGGAUGGCCAUACUCAUGUCAGAAAAAGUGCUUUACAGUCCAGCACAGUGACUCACAUCUCUAAUUCCAGCACACAGGGAGGCCAAGGAAGGACGAUUGCUUGAGCCCAGGAGUUCAAGACCAGCCUGGGUGACACGGGGAGACUGUGUCUCUAAAAAAAUUUUUUUUAAUACUAUGAAAAAUUUUUAAAACGCUGGGCAUGUUGGCUCAUGCCUGUAGCUCCAGCUACACAGGAGGUUGAGGCGAGAUUGCCUGAGCCCGGGAGGUCAAGGUGACAGUGAGCUGUGAUCACGUCACUGCACUCCAGCCUGGGCCACGGAGUAAGACCCUGUCUCACGGGAAAAAACCACUGUCAAAAACUGUCAUAAGAGACAAAAAGAGACAUUAUAUAACAGAGUAGAGAACCCAGAAAGAAAUCCUUGGGUAUAUGGCCAAGUGAUCUUUGACAAAGAUGCCAGCUGCUCCUAGGUACUCAAGAGGCUGAUGUGGGAGGAUCAACUUGAGCCUAGGUUCAAGUCUGCAGUGAGCUGUGAUCAUGCCUUUGCACUUCAGCUUGGGUGGCAGAGCAAAACCUCUGUUUCAUUCAUUACCCUAUAAAGAAUACUUUGAUUACAUGUGGGGAAAAAGUAAAUGGCACAUAUAGUUUUUAAUUGGAAAUUGACUUUACAACUUAAUACCCAGCCUCAGUCACCCUAAAGCAAGCAUAUUUUAUAUAAGGGAUUUCAAAGUUUUACUUACUCUGAUCGCUAUGUUUUGACUUUUUUUUUUUUUUUUUUUUUUGAGACAGUCUUGCUCUGUAGCCAGGCUGGAGUGCAGUGGCAUGAUCUCGGCUCACUGCCACCUCCACCUCCUGGGUUGAAGCAACUCUACCUCAGCCUCCCGAGUAGCUGGUACUACAGGCGCGCGCCACUACUCCCAGCUGUGUUUACUUAGUAGACACUGGGUUUCACCAUGUUGGUCAGGAUGGUCUCGAUCUCUUGACCUUGUGCUCCGCCUGCCUCGGCCUCCCCAAGUGCUGGGAUUACAGGUGUGAGCCACAGAGCCCAGCUUGUUUUCACUUUUAACACCAAUAGACCACUGUGCAGAUAGCCACUAAACUGCCAAAGUGACAGUUAACAAAUACAUAGUAAGUCCAGGAGCAAGUUUCCCAGUAAGAAAAAUCCCAGGCCUCCUUCAGCGAAGACAGCAUUUUAGAUUCAAAGCUAAUUAAUUAUUCUCAAAAUUAACUAUUUCCCGCCCCCUCCCCCCCAAAAAAAAGUCCUAUGGAGGAUCAGGGACAAAUGUCUGCUGCCCAUUGCUUCUUUCACCUCCUAUCCAUCUCAUGCUGUCAUGACACUCAAAGCCUCUGCACUUGUCACCCCACCCAGCUCCAACUAUAAGGGUCCCAUUUUUUUCUACAAAUCUCAUGACUGCACUUCAGAGCUCGUCCUUUUAAGGUAAUCUCUGCAUGUGUUUAAAGUCUUAACAUGUGGUCAUAGUAUUCAAGCAGAAAAAAUGUGUAUCUUAAAAGCUUUGUGAAUCCAGAUGAAGUCAGUUGUUGGGAAGGUAGGCGGGCAGAUACUAAUAGAAUUGGUGUAAAAGUGAGGUGAAAAGGAGGAUGGUUUUAUAGCUGGAUAAGUAAAAAGUUCCUAAGCGGCCAGGCGCGGUGGCUCACGCCUGUAAUCCCAGCACUUUGGGAGGCCGAGGCGGGUGGAUCACGAGGUCAAGAGAUUGAGACCAUCCUGGUCAACAUGGUGAAACCCCGUCUCUACUAAAAAUACAAAAAAAACUUAGCUGGGCAUGGUGGCACGUGCCUGUAAUCCCAGCUACUUGGGAGGCUGAGGCAGGAGAAUUGCCUGAUCCCAGGAGGCGGAGGUUGCGGUGAACCGAGAUUGCGCCAUUGCACUCCAGCUGGGUAGCAAGAGUGAAACUCCGUCUCAAAAAAAAAAAAAAGUUCCUAAGCAAAUGAAAGAUGUAUCAUGAAGCCAAUACUUCUCAAGUUUCUUGACUGCACAGUUCAAAGCUUCGACACACGUUUUACCUAACAGUUUUGAAAUGUAUAAAGCCUCUCCAUUCUGAAGUGUGAUGGUUAAAGUCAAAAGACUCGAAAUCUUGUCAGCCUUUCAGACUAGCAAUUUAACUAUGGCCAUAAUUCAAAGUGAUUCUGGUAGUAACUUUCAUUCUAGCAAAUAAUGUUCAUUAACCCAAGAGUGAAACAGGAGCCAUAUUUGCUGGCCAUGUUUUAUUUGUCCUUUUUCUUCAAACAGGAUAACCGAGGAUACAGACAAUAUUCAAUAAAAUAAAAUAGAUGAAACA